CAGACGGUGAUAUUUGAAUGUGCUGAGUGUUCUUUGGCGACGCAAUGUGCAGGUGGCGCGUGUGUGCGCACUGGAAAGAGAUGACCUUAUGAUAGAGCAACGGACUGAAACACUUGACAGACGGAGCCCUCUGCAGUGGGAGUUGCGGUGGACCGUGGCCAUGGUCUUCCCUUGUGGGGUCCCCAGUCGCUGUGUGCAGGCACUUGCUUUGCCGCUGCACUGGGGGCUCCAUGCUGCUGGUCUGUGUCAGCAGCCCAUGGUAGGGCCCUGGUGCAGAGGGCUCCUUCGUCACCUGGAUGCUCUGUGCCCAGCCCCAUGUUUCGUAGCUCAUUACUUGUAUUAUGACCCGCUGAGAUUCGCACUUCCCUUCCCGUACCGUCUCUUCGCCUCUGACCCAGUCUGGAGGUGGCAAGGCUGCAGUGAUCUCACCUUCCUCUGGGGAGAUUGGAAUGAGUAACAGCACAAGCUGCCAGGCACGAAGCUGACGUCCAGCCUGCUACAGCAGCAGCUCCCACACGCGGGCCGCUGAACAAAGAGCCUUACGAGCCACAUUGGCUCAUCCUCUACAUACACGGGUGAUUCUCAAGCACUGUACCUUGAGAGAUCAUCAGGGAAAUGAUCCAAUUUCACCAAAUUGGUCUGAAAAUCUUUCUUCAUCUAUCUAUGCCAGUGAUGUAUAAUGACAGGCAGAACAAUUAAAUGCUCUUCCACUAGAGAGCAGAAGGUACAUAAUUAUUAUUUACUGUAUUGUAUUGUUUUUAUUUGGUUGUGUGUUGUGAGCUUUUUCUGAAGUAAAAUAUGUGCCUUGGCUUACUACAGGUUGGGAAACACUGCAUUAUGCACAAUCAGAUGAAGAUCCAAUACAAGAGCCGAAUCAAAAUGUCUGUCUUUAUAAUAAUUAUUAUUGUGAUUGACUGUCAGAGGUUGUUGAGUGGAACCUCAAGGUUGAUCGAAGUUGAAGUGGAAAAAUUUGUUGCUCACCCAGGUUUUUUACCAUUUCCUUAGCUUUUUUUGGAAUGUCACCACAGAUGUACCAGUGAUGCCAAUGAGGAAAAGUGUGAAGAGAUUCUGAGAACUGGAAACUGGUUGUUGGAACAGAGGAGUGUCUUUAACUCAUUCACUGCCAGCCUUCCCAGCUAACAUGGAUAUUUGACUUCUAAAGCCGUCAAUGGCAGUGAAUGUGUAAACUGCUCAGUAUAAAACAAGCAACGCCUCUUUUUUAAAAAUUAUAUUAUAUAUACACAACUGGGGUGGCAUGGUUGUGCCUGGUUAGCACAUCUGCACACAGUUCUGAGGACCGGGGUUCAAAUCCCAGCCCCGCCUGUGUGGAGUUUGCAUGUUCUCCCCGUGCCUGCGUGGGUUUUCUCCGGGUACUCCGGUUUCCUCCCGCUUCCCAAAAACAUGCAUGUUAGGGUGAUUGAAGACUCUAAAUUGCGUGAAUGUGUGCGUGAAUGCUUGUUUGUUUAUAUGUGCCCUGCAUUUGGCUGGCAACCAGUACAGGGUGCACCCCGCCUCUCACCCAAAGAUAGCUGGGAUGGGCUCGAGCAAGCCCGCAACCCUUGUGAGGAUUAAGCGGUACAGAAAAUGGAUGGAUGGAUACACCACUGGUCAAAAGUUCAUCCCAAUUCUUGCAGGUCAGUGUCUCGUUGUACUCUGAAAGGUAUCACAGAGCAAAUAAAUAAUUCAAACUACAAAAGAAAUCUAUAAACCAAAAUGUAUUCUGAACAUUUGACUCAUUGAAGUAGCCACCUUGGGAAGAUAUAACAGCUACAGUAAACUCUGUUGAGAGAAGUUCCCCAAAAUUUGUGGUAUUUAUAGGUUGCUUUGCUUUCACUCUUCCAUUAAGUUCAUCCCAAACCAUCUUGAUGGGUUUUCAGUCUGGAGACUGUGCCUUUUUGUAUAAUCCUGAAAGGCACAUUAUUUUUCAGUUUUUGGUAAAUAUACUUGCUUUUAACAGCUAUUCAUUGGACUUGAACUUCAGAACUUUAAAUGCAAAAUACUGGAAAAAUUGGUGUGUUCUAAAACUUUAGACCUGUAGUGCAUGUACAUUACAUUCUUCCAUCCGUUUGCUAUAGUGCUUGUCCUCGUUAGGGUUAGCGGUGAGCCAAGACUAGCUGACUUUGGGCAAGAGGCAGGGUAAACUCUGGACUGGCCGCCAGCCAAUCGCAGGACACAUAGACAAACAAGCAUUCAUAAUCACAUCCUCACCUUCAGAAUGGACAGUUUAGAGUCUUCAUUGACCCUAACAUGUUUUUGGAAUUUAGGAGGAAGCUGGAGUAUCCGGAGAAAAUCCAUGCAAGCACAGAUCUUCUAACCAUUAUGCCACCAUGCUGUCUACAUAUUACAUUCAUAAAUGCAUUUCACCAAGCAGAUGCCAACCUACACAACACAACAAGACCUUAUUUUCAUCAAUACUCAUAAAAUGCCAUUCGCGGACAAUAUCACCCUUCAAACACCUUCCUGUCUGUCCCCUUUUCUUUUGCAUGUCAGUCAGGCAUUUAAAUAAUGAGUUUUACUUUAUUUUAGUUUUGUUUUGCAGUGCACAACUUGUUUUUCUUGUACAGAAAGUGAAAGUUAAGAAAGUUAAAAUGUUGCUUAAAAAAAAAAAUUCCUGUACAGUUGAUAAAGGUUUUAUAAUGGGGACAGUGUGACCCUGGAAUGCGGCAUUUAUAUUCCUAUGGGAAUCCAUUUUUCAUUGUUGUUUGUAGUGCCCUGCAUCAUCAUAAGAGCUGUUUGGACACGCUUAUUACUAAUUCUGGUAACCAAAUGAUUAGAAACAGCAUUAUGCAGUGCAGUUCCGUCCACUUGAAUAACAGUGUCAGUCAUAUUGUCUUUGAAAAGGCAGUUUUCUCUUUGGAAUGUUGAUGUGUACCUAAUGUUGUGGCCGGUUGAUGAAGUGGAAGCAUGAGUGCAUCGAUUUGUGUGU